UUGUCAAUGUUUUACUCUAAAAGCUUUCUACGUCAGUUUUGAAAAGGAAGCAAUAAAGCCCAUUCAAUGGUAUGAAUAAAAAUCCUUUGAGGGUUAGGAGCGGAGCGUCUUUUCUUCAGCUGGUAAUCAAAUUGGAGCUGAAAUGAAAUUGAGUUUUCUUAUGAAAAUAGCCUUUGUUGCUGGGAAGGCUGGUAAUUCAUAAACAAUAACCUGCUCUUUUGUGUGGAUAAUAAUAUAUUCAUGUUCUUUCAAUAGGGUAAAAGCCAGACCUAGUGCAUUAUGGUACAGUAGCAGCAGCAGAAGGAGCGGCGGGGGCCGGCCGGGAGGAGACGCGGCGCGCGGGCCCGGCUCUCGGAAGCCUCCAGAAGCGGCCCUCCGCUCCGUUUGCUCGUUCGUCUGUUGCCGCUGCGCAGCAUCUGGCUCCUGUGGCCGGGCUCCAGCUGUGCCCAUCGCCACCACGGCUGCGGCAGCCGGGAGACCCUGCCUGCCGCCCCCGACGCCCGAGCUGCUCCGAGCCGCCUCACGGCCCCACGAGGAUCGGGACCGGACCAGACAGCAGCUGGACGUCCGCGCGGGAGUCGGCACUUGAUGAACCCUGCUCACUAUCACCGUGAUGAGGACCGUAGCACCGUGCAGCAGAAUUGAAAGCAGACGAUGAGAGCCAGCAGAACCCUGCGCCACAGGCGGCAGAGCGGCCUUAGGAGCACUCGUGGUGCUGGUAGGGUUGUUUUGAGUCUGGGUGUUUUGUUAAUUCUGUAUUAGUUAAGGUAGUUUUAUUAUCAUAGUUGCUGUUAUUGUUGGCGCUCUUGAAAUUACUGAGCCCAUAAUCAUGGUCAUAUCUGAGAAUAAUAGUAUAAUUUUCAGUUUUUAUAUGGAUACUUGUUAUUUCAAUUUCAAGCAUCAUUGCAUUGGUUGAAAGAGUGGAUUUCAAGGGCGCAAUCAUCAACUUUGCUGAGAAGAUCUCCUAUUUUAAGAAACAUUCAGUGGUAAUGCUACAUAAGCUAUUCCAGAGCACAGAACGAGAUGAAAAGCUCUCUAGUUCUUGUUUUAUGGGUUU
rnacentral:lncRNA from 1 species